rnacentral:rRNA from 1 species
GAUCAUGGCUCAGGAUGAACGCUGGCGGCGUGCUUAACACAUGCAAGUCGAACGAAGCACUUUAAUUAAUUUCUUCGGAAUGAAGUUUUUGUGACUGAGUGGCGGACGGGUGAGUAACGCGUAUCCAACCUGCCCACCACUUGGGGAUAACCUUGCGAAAGUAAGACUAAUACCCAAUGACAUCCCACGAAGACAUCUGAAUGGGAUUAAAGAUUUAUCGGUGAUGGAUGGGGAUGCGU